rnacentral:rRNA from 1 species
AAUAGAUACCCGGGUAGUCCAUGCCGUAAACGUUGGGCGCUAGAUGUGGGGACCAUUCCACGGUUUCCGUGUCGCAGCUAACGCAUUAAGCGCCCCGCCUGGGGAGUACGGCCGCAAGGCUAAAACUCAAAGGAAUUGACGGGGGCCCGCACAAGCGGCGGAGCAUGCGGAUUAAUUCGAUGCAACGCGAAGAACCUUACCAAGGCUUGACAUAUACGAGAACGCUCUAGAAAUAGAGAACUCUUUGGACACUCGUAUACAGGUGGUGCAUGGUUGUCGUCAGCUCGUGUCGUGAGAUGUUGGGUUAAGUCCCGCAACGAGCGCAACCCUCGUUCUAUGUUGCCAGCGGUUCGGCCGGGAACUCAUAGGAGACUGCCGGGGUCAACUCGGAGGAAGGUGGGGAUGACGUCAAAUCAUCAUGCCCCUUAUGUCUUGGGCUUCACGCAUGCUACAAUGGCCGGUACAAAGGGCUGCAAUACCGUAAGGUGGAGCGAAUCCCAAAAAGCCGGUCUCAGUUCGGAUUGAGGUCUGC